AGGUAGUUUGAGGAAGAAACCUGAAGCUGGGGGCAGGUCUGACUGGCAAUACUGAUUCAAAAGCCAUCAGCACCCAGAUGGUAAUACAAGCAAGGAUAAGAUCAUUCAAGGUGUGUGUAAACACUGGAAAAUCAGUGGGCUGAGGCCAGAGCCCUAGAGAACCUCUAUAUUUAAGAACAGGAGCUAGCAAAGGAACGUGUUGCACAUGGCUUGGAAGCUAGGCAGCUGGAAAAGGCCAGCAGGAAUACAACCAAAGAACUCUUGGCAUGGCGGAGCCCAGGAUUUAAUUCAAGUGAGACGUGUCAGCAAGAGAAAAAGGAGGAGACAAGCACGGGGAAGUGCUGCCAAUGUAUGUUUUCCCUCAGGAGCACUGGGCUGCCAGCGGACUCUUUAAACGGGUCGGUGUGCGUGCCACUCUGUCAGCACCCCUCCUCUGCUCAGCCUGCAGAAAGACUUCAUGCUAUGGACAUCUUUUCUGGGGCCAGUGCACAGCCCUCCAGUCCCCCAUUAACUCUCAUUUUGAGGAGCUGAGAUCAGCUGAGGAAAGCUUCGCCAAGCUUCAGAGCAUCAAAAUGUGCAUUUGGGAGGGGUAGGCAGGCAGAUGGCGCCAGAUUAAAAAGAUGCUGGGCUCGCUCGCUGCUCUGAGGUCUCUGAAUUGCCUCCAGCACGGCAGUGUGGAAUCAGGAACUCCAUCAUAUGACCUAAAAACUUGUGAGUCUCUCCAAAAAGACUUAGCUUGCUACAAGAUACUGAAGGGGAUUGAGAUGCACUUCCAGAGGUCCUGAGAUUCUAGAAGCCCAGCAUCCACCAGAUGCCUGCUGAAGCUGAUGGCUGCUGCACACUCUGCUGAUGGUGAAACAGCAUGAACUAGAUUGCAGGAUUGGAUAUAGGUGAAGAAUUUCUUAACUUGUACAAUCUGGUAUUGAGGACUGUGCAUCGAUGCUUUUUGGAGUGGAGGAAGAAGGGGAAUGGCAAGGACUGUGGAGCAAGGAUUUGGAACUGUGGCCCAUGUGUGCAAAUAAAAAGUAAGCACCUCUGCUGGAAAAAAUCUUAUACUCUGCCUUUCUACAUAAGCUAGAUUUUCUUCACUAUCUUCUAAACAUGGACUAAGAAAUCUCAAGAGGUCAGAUAUCUAGCUUCUUGUUUAGUAGCUGCGGGGAAAGAGACUGUGCAAGUGUUUGGUGCCGGCACCCCUGCCACUGGCAUGUGCUUGUCCCAAUGCAUUAAGACAAAACUGUACUAAGCCAGGGCAAACAAACACCUGCCUCUAUCUAGGGCUGUAAACAGGUGGCCUGAGGUUUCUCUGCUACAUGCUCUUCACUGCCCACAGUCCCCACCCCUCCCUAUGGCUUUAUACCCCUGCUACGGUGAGAAAGUUUGCACUGCCACCUUUGGGACUCCUUCUGCCUCAUUGCACCCUAGUAUGGCUCAGAUAAUUCAUUUCUAAUUGAAGCCAGCAAAUACUGGCUUUCUAUCAUCUGCAAAGCACUUUGUUAAGCAAAAGGGCUAUGGGAGGGUGGGGAGAGGAAAUCACAGAAACAGUAAAAUAAAGCUGGUUAUCAAGGUGAUGGCAAGGGGCUGGAUAGAAAGAUAAGAAAUCUGUUUCAAAGUGCCUGUGUCCAACUACAUCGUCUUGAUUGACUUACUCAUGAACUCCCUCAAACAAACCAAAAACAAACAUCAGUCAGGCUGGGUUGAGUUUAGGUUCUGCCACUUCUUUAAACGCACAUAUCAGGCAAGUCAUUUAAUUUCACUAUGCCUCAGGUUCCUCAUCUAUAAACAGGAGAGAGUAACAGUCCCUUUCUUAUAGGAUGGUUGUAAAAAUUGUAUGCAUUAAUGCACAGCAAGCCCUCAGAAUAGUACCUGGCAAGUGUAAGCAUUCCAUAAAUGUUAGCUGUCACCAUCAUCAUCAACAUUAUUAGCAUGAUUUUACUUCUUACCCAUUCAUGUAAUCAUAAUUUCUUAAACUCUGAUAACCAUUACAAAAGCCCAAUGCAAAGCCACAGAACACAAAUUCACGUUCCCCUCUGGGGGUUAAAUUUUGGCCUCACCACAGUGGUUCUGUUGAUAUGAAUUCUUUAUCAGCUUGAAGUUAAUGCUGGAAUGCUAGAACAAUGACCACAAAGAUGUCUAGAGAGAUCUGGUUCUUUUACUGAGCAGUGUAGACACUUUUUAUGACUUAACACUCUUGCAAUAAAAAUUAAGUGGUUACAUAAGACCACUACCAAAUGACAAAACCACGAUUAUGUACUGGCUCCCUACAAAAUCCUUCACAGAAAUGGAUAUUAGUUGAGAACUUAACAUGAAUAACCACAGUAUCAACGACAACAUAUUCAAGUUUUUAUGAAAACCAAGGCAAUUCUUGGCGCUUUGAGAAUUUUUUUUUAAAUCAAAGUAACCAUUAAAGUGAUUUCGUAAAAAGUCCUGAUGUACCUGGUUAUGCUAAAUUCGGGCCAAAUAUGAGAACAAAACUGUAAAUGGCAUUCAUAGCUGAAUGUAGUCUCUUAAACUGUGGUAAGAACAAUACAGAUCAAAUGUUCUUCUGUUAUUUAUUUAUUUUUUAAAGUAAAUUUAAACCAGAAAGUUUGAAUUUAUUUCUUAGGGAGAAAAUCAGGAAACUGUUUGGUUUCUAUUCAUUUCUUAUGUACCUCAAAAUGUAAUUGAUCAAAACUUUGAAUUUUAAGAAAGAGAUGUCAUUAAUUCGUUCAAUGGACCAGAAUAUUAAUUGACAACUCUGUAACUUUGUUGCAACAAAUUUAGCAGGUUAUGAUGAAGAUCAGAUAAGGGACAAAGCUCUGAAGAACGCCAGAUAAAUUGAAAAGAUUAUUGGUUGACUAUAAUUUCUAAUUAUCUUUACUUUAUCAAGAGUGCUGGCCG